rnacentral:sRNA from 1 species
AUUCUGUGAUUUAGCACGAAUGGAUGAUUUGGUUUGAGCACCAAGUUAAAGUAAACAAGAAUAAGUGGAGAAAUAGUUUAGCAAUAUUAAUUCUUUAAUGAUAUCAGGAAGAAAGCAUCAUGAUUGAUUGGACCCUAGUUUGGUUUAGUUCCACCCAAGUGAUAAUUAAGUGCGGUUUUUCUUUUUGCACUCUCAUUAUUACUAACCACAUCCCAUUUUACAUGUCCUUGUUUUGUGGCACUGAUACGUAAGAUAUGAGAGGCGGAAAAUUGAAAAAAAGAGAAAGAAGACUUACCUGAGUCGAGAGAACACUGUUCAUUUGGGCAAUAGUUGCAUGAAACUAGAUGUUCAUCAUAACCAUAACCAUAUGGUGAGCAACUUUCGUCACUUUCUCUGCAUCUUGUGCAGCCACGAGGAAUACUAUAGUUGACCUUAAACGCAUCAUUGAGAGCUUCUUCCAGAACUCCAGCUCCAUCAUCAGUGUCAUCGUAACGAUCCAGAGGACCGGCAGCAGGCACGUUCAAACGUCUAUUGCAAUCCUUAAGCGGUGGGUAUUUGUGGAGCAUCUCCUUUUCCGUGUACCCCUCCUCAAAAUAAUACACAACAUCCGCGGACGUAAACUUGCGUUUUAAAGGGAAAUUUGGGAUUGUAGGACAAUGCUCAUAUAUGAUGAUUUUACGCACUGACGCGUUAUACUGGAGCAGAGUGCUGUUGAAGUUAUCGUAAUCGAAGUUCUGGUAGCCGUCAAAAAGGUGAGCAGGAAUGAUUUGUUGGGGCCGUUACAUUGAGAGGGUGGAAUCUUUUCCCAGGGAGGAUCGAAGAUGGCGGAAACGUUCCAGUUGCACCGGUAUAACUGCUGAGCACAGAGCGGUGGUGGUGGUUGAGAGUGGGAGUAUGGCAAAGCGAUGAAGAGUAAUAAAGAGACGGUGAGCGCGAAGGCAAGGGGAGAGGUGUGGAUGUGACUAUACUUAUCAUCCAUUCUCACACUUCUUCUCAUUUCCC